rnacentral:rRNA from 1 species
AUACGGAGGAUCCGAGCGUUAUCCGGAUUUAUUGGGUUUAAAGGGUGCGCAGGCGGCCAUUUAAGUCAGCGGUUAAAUCGUGGGGCUCAACCCCAUUCUGCCGUUGAUACUGGGUGGCUUGAUUGCGGUCGAGGUUGGCGGACUUCGUUGUGUAGCGGGGAAAUGCAUAGAUAUGACGAAGAACACCGAUUGCGUAGGCAGCUGACCAGACCGCAAAUGACGCUCAUGCACGAAAGUGCGGGGAUCGAACAGGAUUAGAUACCCUGGUAGUCCGCACAGUAAACGAUGAAUACUUGUUUUCGGCGAUAUAAUGUCGGAGGCAAAGCGAAAGCGAUAAGUAUUCCACCUGGGGAGUACGCCGGCAACGGUGAAACUCAAAGGAAUUGACGGGG